CCAUAGCAGUGAAGGGUGUUCUCAGAGUCGUAUUAGUAGACCAAGACAAAAAUCAUCAAUUACAAAAAACAACAAGAUAUCAGGAUAAUAUUUUCAGAUCACCUUUCCCAUACUUCACCCCCCUCAAGUAAAAAACCUCAGUAAACCAGCUCUUUCACAGUAGAAAAGCAGUUUUAGUAUGAUACAAAAGUAUUCUUCUGCUUUUUCAGUUAGUUACAACCAUCUUCUUGAUUCACUUAAAAUCAGUGCACUCCACCCUCUUUUUCUUGCCCCGAUGCCGACAACUUCAUCUACACAUAGAAGCAUCUCCUCUCUUUGUGUUGGUGGGAGGUAGCUUUUCAAAGUUUGAGAACCCCAGCAACGCUUACAGUGAGAGAUCCUAUCUUUAACAGCACCUCAAAUUUUGAAGCCGAGUGAGAAAGUUAAAGAACUUUGCACAUGAUCUUUCUGCAAAGCAGCACAGCACAUCUAAGACUUGACAGCAGCUCCGCAACAAAGACUGACCAUCAGCUGAACACCUCCCACAGCGUAUUUAUCUAAUGUUAAAAUAGCUCUCCUGCUUAGAAAAAAAUACAUUCUUCCAUAAUCUCCAGUUAAUUUAAUAAGUGACAUGAAAUUCAUAUAAGACCCUUCAGACAUGCACCUACUCAAGAAAGUUAUUUGUUGCAUCACUGUAGAAGUGCAGCAGCUUAGUUUUAAGAACUGAAGUCAGAAAGUGGUUAUUUUGGCAAGACAACAAGAAGCAAAGUUUGCUCCUAUCAACCAGUGUGAGAACGUAAUUGAAUUCAAUGCAACAGAAGUCAAAUUUUAUCCUAGGACCCAAAGUCCUAAACGAAAUACACACAACCAGUUUGAUUCAUUUCUGAUCUUUGUACAGUUUCACAUUUAAACUGGGGAAAAACACAGUUCAUAUAUUUAUUCUUUAUAAUUCCUUUUGGCUCUACUUUGAUGUUUAGAAGGAGAAAGAGACAUAGUGAGCUUCCUUGUGGCAAUAAGAUCUUACUUAAAUUCUGACUUUUCUUUUUGAGACCAGGAGAUGGAAUCAGUGCUCCAUCAGAUCUGUCAGACUGUCUCGUAAUCCUAAAGCAAAGCAAACCAAGGAAGAACACAAAACCAGAGAUCUUAACACCUUUCAAAGAAUCUUCUCCCAUCACUUGCUUUCUCUAGAGAGAAAUAACAGCACAUAAACAGAACAAGACCCUCAUUUAAACAUUCUCCUUUUCUCUAAAGUUACGUAUUUACCCAAGACUUUUUCAACAUUGGUGGUUUCACCAGGGGUUUCAGCCCCUGUUCUGCCAUCUUGCAGUCCAUGGAUACUCAAAUUCCAGGAACACAAAGCAACCCAAGUCUCUCUAUCAAACAAUGUGGAGACCAUAGAUAGUGCUCUAAUACACACAUAAAUGCCUGGUAAGAGGCAUUAAGUCACACCCACCAGAAAAAAAAAAAGCUUAGUACAGGGUACUUACUUUAGAUACAGGAGUCCAACAGCAGAGUGUAGUAAGAACAGAGCUGCUCCAAUCAGGAGGACAAGAAGGGAAACAGGUCACAGUAGCUUCUCAGUAGCUUUUCUAGAGCAAUUGCACUGCUAAGCAGCACAAGAGAGCAAGUAACAGCAACCAGUCCCAGCAACAACACAGAGGCCUUCAAGCAAACAUAUAAGAAUAAAGCAACACCUAAAAAAAACACAUCAGGUACAGCAAAGAACAGUGCUAACCUCCCUCUCUCUACAACACAGCACACAAAAGGAAAGAGAGGGUUCAGACUUGGGCUUCUAUAGAGCCAUGGACCAUAGGCGGAGGCUGCCUCAGGAGGGGCUGAUUAGGGCAAUCAGAGCCUGUUAGUGCCCUCAUGCCUGCCAGCUGGCUCUCAUUCUCAGGCUGAUUUGAGUCAAGUAUAUUACAUUACCACUGGCUCUCCAGGUGUCACGAGACACAGUGAAUGCUUUGGUUCCUGAAAUUUGGUCUGUGUUUCCUCUGUUAAAGGAGGUUUACUUAUUCUCAGUGUUUUAAUCGUGCUCAUCUUUAAAUGCGUCAUGGAUGAACUACACUAAUUUUUGUACUUAGGCUGUGCCUAAGUCCAAGGGCUACUUCUGAGACAUCUAAGUGGUCUCUUUUCCAGUUUGCCCUGCAGUACUCCAUUAAGCAUGUAGUUGUGAUGUGAUGAAGUGAAGGAUGGAAGUACGUGUGGCUGUGCAAUGUUCUGUGUUGAAGUUGGCAUUCUCUUUAAACUUACCAAAGGCAGUAGGGUGAGGACUUUGUUAACCAAUGCUGUAGAAUCCUUGCGUGCUGCCCUUUCUAUCUGUGAAAGAAUGAAACCACAAAUGAUGAAGAUAAUUCAUACUGAGCAAACAAAGUUCUACGAAGCUCAAGGUGCAGUUGGUUCAACACAGCUUAAUUAAACCAGGUGUUGGGGGAGGCUGUUGAUGAUGCCUUAGCUAAUCUCUUCAUUUUGAAGUGGCUGCAUCCCAAUUCGUUAAGGUCUUGAAGUAUAACUGCUCUAAAGUUGAAGGGCACCCAUGCCAGAGCUGGUGAUGGCCGGGAUGCGGCAAGGCAAAGGGAGAGAUCCUGAGGUCGUGCAGAUCCAUCUCGUCUGAGUGAUCCCAAUGUGAGAGCUGACCACAGAUCCCUUCCAGUUCCUUAUGGCUAUCGCUUCCUGCUCUCGUUGCUUUGCGAAAAGACAGAACGGUCAUCCUUUCCAUAAGCUGACAAACUUUUUAGGUUGGAGCUAUAAAGUGUUUUCUUUCAGAAGAGGCUUCCACUUUAAUGGACGAGGAGCGCUUAGCAAUUCCGUUAGCUCAUCUCAUUUUGGCUCCGUUAAGCAACAAACAGCUGAGGAGUAACUUCAUUAAACAUGUGCUGUGUGGCGGGGGAACGUUGCGUUGCCAAAAUCUGCGCUUAUUGUGGAGUGUGUUACUUUAAAGAGGGAAAGCUAGGAUUUCAUUAUACAUUUAUUCUCGUUGUAAAGAUAAUUGUGUUUGUCUCUCAUAUAGCAACUGUCAUGGACUUUGAUGUAGAUGAAUUAAACCUAAUCCAAUCACUUGCUUUGGAAAAAAAAAACCUGCAAGUAUUCAUCUUUAAAAAUGAGCUUUCAAAACAGGCUUUUAUUUUAUAUAUUUAUUUAUGGUUAAUUGGACUAUGUGCUGAAAAUGAAAGACCAGAUUUUGAUCCUGGCUGCCCAAUAAGGAGAGACAAUGAACGUGCUGGGGGUAGCAGAGAUGUAUGCAUGUGUUUUCAUGAUUAAAAAAA
ensembl:lncRNA